GCUCCGGUGGUGUAGUCCGGCCAAGCAUAUCGGCCUUUCGAGCCGACGACCCGGGUCCAAAUCCCGGCCGGAGCA
rfam:Thermoplasmatales archaeon I-plasma AMDT3_IPLC00001, whole genome shotgun sequence.